rnacentral:rRNA from 1 species
UACGGGGGGGGGCUAGCGUUGUUCGGAAUUACUGGGCGUAAAGCGCACGUAGGCGGCUUUGUAAGUUAGAGGUGAAAGCCCGGGGCUCAACCCCGGAAUUGCCUUUAAGACUGCAUCGCUAGAAUUGUGGAGAGGUAAGUGGAAUUCCGAGUGUAGAGGUGAAAUUCGUAGAUAUUCGGAAGAACACCAGUGGCGAAGGCGACUUACUGGACACAUAUUGACGCUGAGGUGCGAAAGCGUGGGGAGCAAACAGG